rnacentral:rRNA from 1 species
AGAGUUUGAUCAUGGCUCAGAACGAACGCUGGCGGCAUGCCUAACACAUGCAAGUCGAACGAGACCUUCGGGUCUAGUGGCGCACGGGUGCGUAACGCGUGGGAAUCUGCCCUUAGGUUCGGAAUAACUCAGGGAAACUUGAGCUAAUACCGGAUAAUGUCUUCGGACCAAAGAUUUAUCGCCAAAGGAUGAGCCCGCGUAAGAUUAGCUAGUUGGUGGGGUAAAGGCCUACCAAGGCGACGAUCUUUAGCUGGUCUGAGAGGAUGAUCAGCCACACUGGGACUGAGACACGGCCCAGACUCCUACGGGAGGCAGCAGUGGGGAAUAUUGGACAAUGGGCGAAAGCCUGAUCCAGCAAUGCCGCGUGAGUGAUGAAGGCCUUAGGGUUGUAAAGCUCUUUUACCCGGGAUGAUAAUGACAGUACCGGGAGAAUAAGCCCCGGCUAACUCCGUGCCAGCAGCCGCGGUAAUACGGAGGGGGCUAGCGUUGUUCGGAAUUACUGGGCGUAAAGCGUACGUAGGCGGCUUUGUAAGUUAGAGGUGAAAGCCCGGGGCUCAACUCCGGAAUUGCCUUUAAGACUGCAUCGCUUGAAUCAUGGAGAGGUUAGUGGAAUUCCGAGUGUAGAGGUGAAAUUCGUAGAUAUUCGGAAGAACACCAGUGGCGAAGGCGACUAACUGGACAUGUAUUGACGCUGAGGUACGAAAGCGUGGGGAGCAAACAGGAUUAGAUACCCCUGUAGUCC